CAACUUUUCGCUAUUAUCAAAAGUUGACAUUCUUCAAUUCUCCAAAAAUCAUCGUUUUAAACAGAGCAUCUACAAAAAGUAUCUAAAAGGAAAUUAAGUGAUACAUUUUGUCCGAUUAUGUGACUUUGAUAAAGUUAUUUUAGACAGGAUGAAGAAACAAGUGAUAUUACUGUUAGUGUUAGUAUGUCGAUGCUAUAGCCAGGGGCCUAUUCCAAUAAAUGAGGGCCAGAGUGUUGGUUCCCUGGUAGCUAAUUUUAUCUGUGAAACGGGAACGGGAAGUAUCGAACUACAUGGAAUUAAGGCAGACUAUUUCUUCACAAAUUCAUCUGGAUCAGAAACGUUUAUAUACAUAAAUAGGAGCAUAAA
rnacentral:lncRNA from 1 species